CAUUACCGAGUUUACAACUCCCAAACCCAUUGUGAACUUAUACCCAAAACGUUGCCUCGGCGGACACAGCGGUACCCGAGCCCCCGCAAGGGAGCAAAGGCGCCCCGUCCGCCAGGGGACCAAAACUCUUCUGUAUACCCAUAGCGGCAUGUCUGAGUGGAUUUAAAACAAAUGAAUCAAAACUUUCAACAACGGAUCUCUUGGUUCUGGCAUCGAUGAAGAACGCAGCGAAAUGCGAUACGUAAUGUGAAUUGCAGACUUCAGUGAAUCAUCGAAUCUUUGAACGCACAUUGCGCCCGCCAGUAUUCUGGCGGGCAUGCCUGUUCGAGCGUCAUUUCAACCCUCAAGCCCUGCUUGGUGUUGGGGACCGGCUCAGCGGGUGCGGGCUUCGGCCCGCCCCGUGCCGCCCCCGAAAUGGAUCGGCGGUCUCGUCGCAGCCUUCUUUGCGUAGUAACAUACCACCUCGCAACAGGAGCGCGGCGCGGCCACUGCCGUAAAACGCCCAACUUUUUAGAGUUGACCUCGAAUCA
rnacentral:sRNA from 1 species